GUUCUGCACCAAACCUAGUUACUAGCACUGGUAACAGCAACAUACUGCAGAGCUGCGAUACAAGCAAGGCACAAGCGAAGCUUGUUGAGGUCUGGACACUUUAGCUGCAGGAGUUUUCUAAUCAGAGAGGAGAUGUCUCUAGAGAUUGCUGCUCAUUUGGUAAGGAAAACACAAAGCCAUCAUGCUCCUGCCGCACAGACCUGGAAAUGGGGUGGUAUAUUCAGACCUGUCAUGGGCUUCCCAUUUAUUUUACCUCAGACCUAUGAAUCUUUCUAGGACUCAGUUCAGUCUUCUGCAAAAUGGGAACAACAGCUCAUGCAUUCCUCACAGGGAGCAUGUGAGGUCUAUUCCUUCAUAGUUCUUUGAGAAUCUAAAAUAAAGGCUAUUUCUUUUUGCUUUUACACAUCAUCUUCUUAUAUACUUCAAAGAGGUCUGAGGAUGUACCUCCAUUACAGCUAAAUGGUCUGUAUCUUGUUUUUUGCUCUUGUAGCUGGGAGCUGUGUUUUAAAUUAGGUUCAAAACAGUGAGAAAAAACAUCUUCCUUGGCCUUCCUGAAUUGCCUCUAUCUGCUUUCUCACCUUGACACAGUUUCCGUAUGUGAAGUUGCAGCUCAAGGGAAAAACAUAUGUAUCUGUACAGCUCUUGCAAACCAGUGAAUUGUCAUGGGCCCAUCUCUCCUCUGAGGUAUUCUGAAUCCAGAAGAUGGUAAGGAGAUGAAAUCCCUGCAUCUGGUAGGCCUGAGGUAUUAAAUUUAACUGAAUAAUGAGAAAGGACUUGUGUAAUUCAUCCAAAUGGCUUUUAGUUAGGGAAUAAACAAAUCUCUUGCAAAUUUAGUAACAGAGCACUUGAUCCUGCAGUCCUCUCCCACAAAAGAAGUUUUACUGCCUUUAGAGCUUGACUGUCUAUUCAGUUUUAACUAAACCAUGCUCAUUUUCCCAGCCAACCAGGCUACUAUACUGCGGUCGCUCCUGGAUACUGAAUCAAAAAUACUACAGUUUCCGAUGUGUAAGAGCUGCUCCCAACACCUAACACAAAAUCUCCCUUGGAAGUAUGUUGCCAAGGCUGCUCCCCCUGAAGGCAUCAAGGUUCAGACCUAUUCAGUAUUCACAGUCAUCUAAGAGAGGAGGCUCAACUCAGUACUUGUCCCAUCCUCCCAAAGAUAGCACAGGAAUUUGACUAAAUUAGAAAAUGGAAAGGCACAUGCAAGGACAUGUUCCUUCCAAAAUUGAUAAAAGCCUUCUUGCUUCUGCAGCCUGGAUUUACUGCAGGCACUAGGGAUCUUUGAUUCUUUCAUGUCUCCAGAAAGCUUCUGCAUGCUCUCUUCCCCAUCUCCUUUGUUUUAAGGACCUGUUGCAAUCCCCCUUCCUGUAUACUAAGGCUCUGCAUUUCUCUCCUUUUAGUAUGUCAGGGCUUCCUUAUGCUUCCACUUCCGUACCUUCUGCACCAAGAUUCUUCAAUGUCCCCCGUGUCCUCCGUUAACUCUUCCACUGCCCUAGUUCCAGCACCCAUAUGGGUUUCCUCAUUCCUCUAUUUCCACAGCACCGGAGAUUAGUUCACAUUAUAUCUUUGACAUGGGGUUCAUGUGCCCUUCCUCUCUAUCUCCCGUUAUCUCUUUCCUUUCUAUGAGGAUAACAGUGUUUUGAAAUUUGGUUGAGAUCAGCCUUUCUUUUGCUUAAAAAGAUAUUUCUUUCAUCAAAUGGCUUCCCGAUCUGGAGAAAACUCCAGACUUGGUAAUACAGUUGGUGGAUGUAUAUGGAUGUUGGUGGAUGCCAGGUGAAUUGUGCACCCGUCAUUCUGUUGUCCCAUUGCCUGAUGGUCAACAAAAUCAAUCGAAUUUUUGCCCAGAAAUGCUCCAAAUAAUAGGUCAUUCCUGAGCUUUUGCAGUUGGUGGGAUGCACCUCCUAAAGGUCAUCUUUCAUCCAAACAGGAAAACAACACCAGUCUGAGGGCAGGGCCUCUCAAUUUCAGCCAGUUCUCCCACCUCUGUAAAUGAAUGACUAGUCACACUGCUCUACAUUCAGACGAUGAUUUUGAGAAUCAUGCAGUUUGAUAAAUAGAGCUUGUGAAGAAUUUGGUGUAUAGCUAAACUCUCUCUAGCAAUAUUAAUGAACAAUGACCUUGCUCUGAAAAUAUUCACUGUGUGUUUCUUCAUUGUUUCUCAGUGAUCUCCGCUGGUUUGUGUACUCUAUUCAGCAUCCUUAGAAACUUCUGUUCUGCCCAGAAACCUGAGGGAUCUAAAUUUUAGUUUAGUAGCUCUAAGCUCCAAUACAUGCACAUGCAGACACACACAUUCACAUUAUAAUACAGUUUUUACUCAUUUCCCAGUAGAGCUCGUGCAUCAAAAAUGAUCGCUAUCACUUAAAAGCACCACUUACUUUGUGUAUGAAUACAUAGAAAA